GAGUUUGAUCGUGGCUCAGGAUGAACGCUGGCGGCGUGCCUAACACAUGCAAGUCGAACGGAGUUUAUGAGGAAGAAGCUUCGGCGGAAUUCUUAUAAACUUAGUGGCGGACGGGUGAGUAACACGUGGAGAACCUGCCUCUUACCGGGGGACAGCAGUUGGAAACGACUGAUAAUACCGCAUAAGCGCACGAGACCGCAUGGUCCUGUGUGAAAAGAUUUAUCGGUAAGAGAUGGCUCCGCGUCUGAUUAGCCAGUUGGCGGGGUAACGGCCCGACCAAAGCGACGAUCAGUAGCCGGCCUGAGAGGGUGAACGGCCACAUUGGGACUGAGACACGGCCCAGACUCCUACGGGAGGCGAGCAGUGGGGGAGUAUUGCACAAUGGAGGAAACUCUGAUGCAGCGACGCCG
rnacentral:rRNA from 1 species